rnacentral:lncRNA from 1 species
AUGUUCAAAGAAAAUGUCUUUCACUGGCACAACAUAAAGGAUACAAGAAUCCAGAGAAACAUGAAUAGACUUCAACAAAGCACUUUCAACACGGCAAAUCUCAGAUGGUGGCUUUUGGUUUCAAGCAGUGUAAUCAGAUUACUCGAGGAACAUUUUGUUUUGCUCCAAGCUACAAAGUCCCAUGGGAGAAAAAUCCAGCAACUGCACCGCUCGGGAGCCACAUGCUAUCCCUUUGAUGCUGACUACCUUCCGCUGCCUGCUGCUGGUGAGCGCUCCAGCCCUACAACGUUGGCCACAAGCGUUCACCGUCUUCUCAAACCCUCUAGCCCAUCCAUGUCACUGCUUCCUGCCUGGAGGUCUGUACGGGUGAAGGCACGCUCCCCUGCAAACCUAACUCCAUUCACGAACAUCCUCAACCCCACUUCUCAGCCUCUGCAGGAGAAUGUGUACUUUUUUUCUUUUUGUUUUUGGACUCAUCCUCUUGCCACUCCCUUUGAAAAUGUUUUCCCUUGGGUCUAUGUCUCUCUCCUACUUCUUGCAGUGUAUAGGUGUAGACAACUAACUUAUAUUAAAGACCUGCCUACUCCCCUUGGUCUGUAGUCUACCUCCUACUUUAAAUGACGUACCCAGAAAUGGCACUCUGCACCCACUGCCACCUGCUGAUGCUCACUACGCUCCAUCACUGGAAUGACGUUCCCAAAGCCACUAUUAAUUGUUCUUACCAAAACAGCCUCUGACUUGUAAAAUGGCUUCAUUUUACACCCCAUCCCAGCUUGACCUCUUGGGGGCAUCUGAUAUUAUUAACCACCUCCCUUUUCGAAAUUGUUCUCGGAUGGCUCCUUUCCUGAGACGGGUACACCAGAGCCCUGUGCCUGGCCCCUUCUCUCAGCGAGCUCUCCCUAGGCAAUCUCACCCCUUCACCGUGUGGGCCCCGAGGCCCUGCAACUUCCACCCCUCAACACUGGGCUGCCGUCUUUCUGCCAAGCAUCUCGGUUUGGUUGCUCCCUUCUCAAUCGGCUAAAACCAAACCCAAUCACGCCUCUCUGCUCUCCUCUCUCUCUAGUCGGAAAGUCUCACAAACUCCAGGUCCCCGAUCUGCAUGGCACACGCCUGCACCCUGAGCUUCCCGGGGUCUGGCCUGGGCGCAGGUCUCCCCAGGGGCCAUUGGCUUCACCCAGGCCUUGCCUGGAAAACACACUGCACCGGGCUGCCUCGUCUUCUCCUCGGGUGCGCAUCCACACCAGUCUCCUGAUUUUAAAACUUCCAAUGAGGGGCUCAUGGCCUGCAGGGCACGAAUGUGUCAUCACUCAGCUCUACACAGACAACCGUGUCCAGCCUCAUUUCCUGUCCCAGUGGGUCCCACUUCCGGGGGCCUUAGGGUCCAGAUGUACCGUCACGCAGCUCUACACACAGACAACCAUGUCUACCCUCACUUCCUGUCCCGGUCAGUCCCACUUCCGGGGGCCUUAGGGUCCGGGUGUACCGUCACGCAGCUCUACACACACAACCAUGUCCACCUCACUUCCUGUCCCGGCCGGUUCCACUUCCGGGAGACUUAGGUUCCAUCUCACUCCCCGGAAACCAGUACUUUACGGCUCCACCGCGGGGCCCAGGCCGUUUCGAAGCGUGUUCCCCAGUCUCCACGUGCCGGGCGGCUGCACCCUCCAAGGCUCGGCUCCAACGCCGGCUUCCCAGAGGGGAGUUCCCAGCACGGUUCCUACACGAGGCUGCGACUGGCAGAGUGGCACCACACUUCCUUAUUCCUCACCCCUCAGCAGGCUCAGAAUCCUUUAAGACUCGCAUCUGUGCCCCCAGUGCUCAGGGACUCCGCUGCCUCGCUGAUGGGCCACAGUGUGUGUUACAAGGCUUGGGAAAAGUCCCUCAUUCAUUCACCUGUGGUCUGUUAGGUGUGGCGAUGGACAGGUGCAUACCAGCCGGCCUUUCCCACUGAGGAGAUUGUCAGGAACACAAACACACCAACGGCUGUCAGGUGCAGGAGAAGCCGAGAGACACAAAGUGUUUCCCGGGACACUGCAGAGCGAGGAGAGGACGGUGUGCCUGGCCAGUGCAGGGCCCUGGGGGUGAGGAGCUGGUUGGAGGAUGCAUCUGGGACGGACGAUGCCCACAGUGAACAAGCAGGGAAAGAGAAGCGGCCAGAAACAUGGGAGGGGCAAUGGGCAAAUUCAUUUCUGUCUCCUGCCCCAAGCCCUGGUACUCAAGGUCAGGACACAAUCUUUGCAAAUAGCCCCCAUCUUCAUUGUGAAAAUAAACAACGACAUCAGGAUAUCA